rnacentral:lncRNA from 1 species
ACAAGGAGCUCCGUCUAAAGUCAGAACUUCUGAAACAAAGAAAACCCAUAGCUCACAGGAAACACAGCCAAGUAUUGAAAGAAAAAAAAAAACCUACAUCAGGUGCAGGUGACCUUGGCAGCCCAGCGGAAGCUGCUGAAGGUCCUCUUUCCUCUGGAUGAAUCUUUAGUGUGAAUCGUGGCAUUUACACCCCAGCUCACUAGGAAGAACUCAGAGCCAGCGAGCACCACGUGUGUGUGUCAGGACCUGCCGUGUGACUGCAGGUGUCCGAGGAGGGUAGAAGAGGGGAUUGGAUCCCUUGGAACUCGAGUUUCAGGGGGUCUGGGAGCUGCCCAAUGUGUGUGCCAGGAGCUGAAUCUGGUCCUUGUCAUGAGCAUUAAGUACUCUUAACCUCUGAGGCAUCUCCUCACCUCCCUGUCAAUCAUUUUGUAUCCUGAAUGCGCAGCACCUUUUCCAGGGGACGCUGGUCCUUCUCUCAUCUGGACCUGAGUGUCUACAGCCUGGCAUGCUCUGUGGCCAUCAGGAUGCACAAGGACUCCAAGAGUUGUGGCAUCUCAAGAGGAAACACCGGUGUUUCUACUGAUGCUGCAAAAAACUACCGCACAGCAGCAGCUCUGAAAGUGUGGGGCUGGAGGCACACACCUUGACCCUGGCUUUCUGGAGGAUGGAGAGUUUGAGGCCACUCUGGGUUAUUCGGUGAUCAAUGGAUUGAAAUUCAAAUUGACUGUAGUUUUGUAGGUUAGAAUUAGCCAAGGUUUCCCAGAACUAAAAGGAGGAAAUUGGCUGUCUGGGUGGAGGCUCUAGGAAAGUUGACCUCUUUCAAAAUCGCUAAGACUGUGGUCAGAAACCAAUCUGCACAUUUGCAAGAUGAGAUUCUGGUUCCCUCCCUGCCUCUCUGUAGGGGUUCUACUUCUGACCUGGGCCAGCCACCAAGGCCUCUAGGUUUUUCUUGUUGGCCCCAGACUUCCAUGCCUUUCCCUUGGCAGUUCUUGUGAUUCUCUGCAUGCUGAGGCUAAUGUGGACUUGUGGAGCCCACUCAGGCAAUUCCACUUGAUCCUCGACUUUCAAGCCUGCUCCCUUCAUUUACUUGCAAACUCCUCUGCUCUGCAUGUUCCUUAGUUCCAGGAACUAAGGCGUGAAAGUCCUUCGUGAACCUUCUCAGGGUGAGGCAGGGUGGAGUGCAGGGUGAACAGUUCAGCCUUGGCCAGUUUCUGUGCACAGGCUAGGACAGGGAUGGACACACACACACACACACACACACACACACACACACACACACACACAGAAGCCUUUAAAGGCUUAAGUAAGGCCACACCCAGUGGGGGUGUUUUGCCCUGUAAGGCUUUGGGUUGCCCCAGGCCAGGAAGGAAGGACCAGCUGUGCAGGAACUGGGUGGGAAUCUAAGAUUUCUGGGCAGGGAACCGGAUUUGCCUAGACCAAAGGUAGGACUGCCUGGGUCGGGCUUUCCAGGGAACCAGUGUAUGGACUGGUGUCUGGCUCAUGUUUCUUCUGGGCCAUUCUGAACAUCUCCCUGGGGGUACCACACCAACAAAAUGGCAGGAUAGACUGCCUCCGAGAGACCCCGAACUCUGAGGGAUUGAAGUGGCUCUCAUUGGGGUUCCUGGGCAGAGGUAGGGAUCUCACACUGGCUCUGGCUCUCAUCUCCCCUCAUGCCUUACAUUUGCUGGCUUGGCUGUUCUGUCCUGUUCCUGAGUCCCUUUGUUCCAGGGGUCACUGGGUCCUGAAAGGCAUUCCUACAAGAGCAGAAGGAAGAACAAAGUCCACAUUUCUGCUCUGUGUUGGCCCUCGCCCAGUUCACCCAGCCAAGGCACUUGGCUCUUUCUCCACUGAGCCCCCCAGUGGAGCCUUAGCUACUUUACACCUUUUGUGCUCCUUUCAAGGUUACCCCACACAAUACAUUCAGGGCAACACACUGUUCUCUGGAUGUCCAAGGAGGUACUUCUGCGCCCCCCACCCCCACCCCCACACCUUCUCAGGCUCACCCACUUUGCUCCCACCUGCCUGGGGACAGCAUCUUUAGCUAAACUCCAAGCUAAUCUCAGGCUGAGUCCAGAGGCCUGAUUGCUUUCUUAUUUAUUAAAAGGACAGGGCAUUGUUAUACUUCCCAGCUUUCCCUGAGGCUCCAAGGACUCUCCUGUGUUGGCCUCCCCAGCAGUUAGGACUACAGUCCUUCUUUGCUGGCAGGUACCUUGUUGGUUGGCUAUAGGAGCACCCCACAUCUUGAGCCAGACUCAAGGCUGAACUUGGGGCUGGGGAGGUAGGUGACUUAGUCAGUAAAGUACUUGCCUUGCAAGAGUGUUAACCUGAAUUCAACCCCCAGAACCCAUACUUUAAAAUGCUGGGCAUGGUGGGGGUGCAUGCUUUAGUAAUCCCGGUGCUUAGGAGGCCGAGACAGUGAAUCCUGGGAGUUCACUAGCCAGCCAGAUUCACCCUGGGCUGGUGGGAUGGGCAGAGGUACAGCUCAGGGGCAUCAAGGGUCUGUGGUGAUCAGGGCACUUCCCUGCUUGUAGAGAUGGUACUGAACACUGCGCGCACACACACACACACACACACACACACACACACACACAGCCACUCGGUCCCACCCCUAAGAAUCCUGGGAGUGAAGCUCUUCCCACAGUGUUCUGAGAAGCUGAAUCAUGCUGCCUAGGGUCAAUUUACAAGCUGGAGGCUCCUAAGAUGGGGUGACAGUCAAACCAGACCAAAUCCCCAUGUGGAGGUGACUUCCCAAAUGUCAACACACUCUCCUUAUCCUCCCUCUACAGAGCGUGAGCCAAGACGGCUGUGCCCUCUGUACUCAUUUGUUACUCUUGGACCAUCUUCCUCAUCUAUGCCGCUCUCUGGAUACCCAUGGCUACAUCCUGACUGGCUGUUUAAGGGAAAGUGCAAACACAGAGUGUACUCUGGCUGGGGGUGAGGGCAGCUGAGGGAUGGAGAGAGCCUAGCAAGGACAAGGCCCUAGCUUCCGCUCUCUUGCUCUCUCGUACUACAAACAAAUUAACUUUCCCUGAUACACGAAGAUGAGACAGUUUUCAUUUUCUUCGGAGUAUCUAUGGAGAAAACAUCUCAAUUCUGUCUGUUUGAGCCUUGGGUCGAUUUGAAAGCUGAAGGAGUCUGUCCUGGUUAGUUUUGAUUUGUCAACUUAAUCGAGAGUCACCUAGGAAGAGGGAGUUUCAACAGAGAGGUUGCCAUGUUUGAGGGAAAUCAGCUCGAUUAAUGAUUGAUGUGGGAGGACCCGGCCCACUGUGAGUGGUGCCACCCUGGCAGGUGGCCCUGGGUUGUACAGAAAGCUGGGUGAAGAUAAGGCAGAGAGAGUGAGUCAGUAAACGUCCUUCCUCCUUGGUUCGGGCUCCAGGUCCCUAUACCCAUUUCCUCCCAGGUUGGUCGCGGUGUUUAUCACAACAUCUGCUGACCUGGCGGCUUUUACCAAGAAUAUCAAGGAAAUCUGCACCUGGUCACUUAGCCUCCUGAGGAGGGCAGAUGCCUACUUCAGGGCAAGAAUACCUGUCAUAAAGAUAUGAGCCUGGAUAAAGACAGUCAGCUGACAAUGAUGGACACUCAAUUGCCAGGGGAGUUCAGAAUGUCCUGUGUGACCAAUGGCCUUGUCCAGUCAUCUUUUUUGAGCAUUCCUCAUUAGAUAUUUGAGAGUAUCUGUGUGAUGGGUCAUGCCCACCUGGCUAUGUAAAGGGAGGACUUUUCUGUUUACAAUGUCCAGAAACUGUUUUUUCUUUUUAACGGUAUUGGGACGGAACUUUGGCAUGCAUCACGCGAUCACACUGCCAUUGCGAUCCAUGCCCAGCCUUUGUGUUCAUAUCUCUGUAGUAGAUUGUGAUACCCAUGGCUGCCAGAUUUGCAACUUAUUCCUUAGAUAACAACACUGCUUUCUUUCCCCUCUGCCUGUGCAGAGGAUCACCAGAUUUUAGUUUUCAUUUUGCUCCUAGUAUCUUCAAAUGUGGACAAAUAAUUGGGCACCCCCAGUAGAGUACUAAUGAACCUAAGUUAAAAAAAAAAUGAGCAGGUUCUGUUUCCAUUGAACCAAAAGGCAUGAGAUGCACCGUGGUUUGUGACUCUCGGUAUCUUGAGGUCCAAGAAGGAAGUCUCUGUAUUUCCUGUUACUUUGGAAGGGUGAACAGGAAGCAAUGAACGUGUUCGUGUAUGUGUGUGUACACGCCGUUCUGGUUUGUUAAGACAACUCUCACUGUUUGCCCCUUCCUGGCUUGCCUGAAACUCACUUACUGUGCAGACUUGAAGUCAUAGAGAUCCGCCUGCCUCUGUCUCCUUAAGGCUGGGAUUAAAGGUGUGUGUCACUAUUCCUGGCUGGAUUUCUUGAACUUUUCAU